GUAUUACAUAACCAUAUUUUUCAGCAUUUUGACCAGCCCUCAAAAACUGCUGAUAUCAUGAUUUACUACUUCACUGGUGUUUCCAUUUCCCCAGCACUGCAGCCAGAAUUCAGAAUCCUGACUCACCCUUCAGCAAGCUGCAGAGAAUUCUGAUUAUUCUGGUAUGGUCAAUACUCAUAAACUGACUUUGAAAUGGGAAAUCGCUCUUGGACAAGCCAAAGCCAGUGCAAUUUCAGGUUGACCUGCCCUGUUCCAUCAGGGAUAGAACCUCACAGAUUCAAGCACAACCUCUCUAGAUCUGGCACCAUGUGACUUCUGGCUCUUCCCCAAAG